UCAUAUUCUUAUUUUUUCACAAAAAAUAAUUUUACUCUUCUUAAGCAUAUAUAUGCCUAAAUGUGGGCUAUUAAAGUCGCAUGUUCUGUGACAAUGUGUCAAUGAAUAGUAGCUGCUUGUUUGUGACAGGUAGUCUAUAUCACAUACCAAGGUGUGUGGUAGACCUUACUAUACAGGAUUUUGUAAUUACAAUCUAAGACUCUUGCUCAAGGACCAAGUCUCCUAAGGAUGCUUGUCUUGAAAUAUUUUCCUUUUGUUCAGGAAAUGUAUAAUUAAUAUACAGAUUUCUAAUGUAGUAACUCUAGCCACCCCAUCUUUCAGAAGCUUUGAGGGAUAUGAAUAUGAUUAAAAUAAUGUAGAAAAUUUUCAUAUUUUUGGAAGUGUGCAUGGAGGGGGUUGGGAACCACACUUAUGCAUAAUUUUACUGCUCCCCAGCUGACUUUUUCUAUUAGAGUGAUAGGGAUGGGGGAAAACAGAGAAAGAUAGAGAUACAACACAGUCCAUGCGGUUAUGCUAUGCUGGUGCUCAACCCUGCUUGAUCUGUGUUCAUGACAAAACAUCCACCCUCCAUGGUAAACUAUCACUCUUUCCCUAGUCAUCUUUAGUAAAUUAGCCAUUUUAAAAUAAUAUCUGAAUGAUUCAUGAUGUUGUUUAUUUCUGUCAUUUUUAUUUUCUAGUCUCAAUUGUCACAGCCGAAUAAUCUUAGAAUUUAAAUUCUAUAUCCAGAUUAAUUGUUGUUUUAAUAAAUUAUUUAAACUUAUUUUGAAGAUCUUCAUCUGUUAGUGAAUAUCACUAUGAGGAGAUAUGCAGCAUCACAAUAUUAGAAAGCCCAUCAUUGAAAGUGUACCACCAAGAUUAGAUGGGAAUGCCACAUUGGAAAGAAUCAAAAUCAGAAAGGAAACCACAUGACAACUGACAGAAGCCAGGAGAGAGAGAACAUCUUUUUAUCGACAAAAUGCAUCAGUAAAAUACACAGAAUCAUGCAUAUCCCUUUAGUUUCAUUUCCAGUUCAGAUCUGAGUCCCCUUUAGUCCAUACUAGAAGUUAAAAUACUAUUGUAACUUAUUACACGGUAAAAAAAAAAUUAAUAGGGGCCUGAGAGACAUCCCACCUAGUAGAACACAUGCCUUAGCAUGUGUGAGGGAGGGUCCAGUUCUAACCCAGACCACAGCGUGGGAAUUGCCAUGGGAAGAGGAAACUUUAUGAGCUGUGAAGUAAUGCUGUAGUGUAUCUCAUUCUCUUUGUAUGUUUCUCCCCCUUUCCAUCAACUCUGGGAGGACGGGUUACUUCUGGGGUAAGAAAAAAUCUUUCAGGGAUGAUGGAAUCUUGCAGACAUAGAGUUUCAGCAAAUCCCUAGUGUAAACAGACUACAUUUACUAUUCAUUUUCAUCAUAGCUCAACUCUGAAUAGUGUGACAAUGCAACAAUCAAUGUGUUUAACAAUGAUGUAAUAGAACUUUGUCUCAAGAAUGAGCCUGUAGUCAUAAAGGGAUUUUGACAUAUUUUAGUAAAGAAUAAAUCACCUGGGACUGAUAUUCUUUCAGCAACAGUAAUUUUAAGAUCAUUUUAUUUUAAAAGAGAUAGUAAUAUGCUCCAAGAUGUUUCUUGGUUUCCUUAUUCAGACAUUACUUUAAAACUUGCUAUUACUGUAAAAAUAAACAAGAAACCACAGGAUAUCCUCA